AUUGAACGCAGGCGGCAUGCCUUACACAUGCAAGUCGAACGGCAGCACAGGAGAGCUUGCUCUCUGGGUGGCGAGUGGCGGACGGGUGAGGAAUACAUCGGAAUCUACUCUGUCGUGGGGGAUAACGUAGGGAAACUUACGCUAAUACCGCAUACGACCUACGGGUGAAAGCAGGGGAUCUUCGGACCUUGCGCGAUCGAAUGAGCCGAUGUCGGAUAAGCAAGUGGGCGGGGUAAAGGCCCACCAAGGCGACGACCCGUAGAUGGUCUGAGAGGAUGAUCAGCCAAACUGGAACUGAGACACGGUCCAGACUCUUACGGGAGGCAGCAGUGGGGAAUAUUGGACAAUGGGCGCAAGCCUGAUCCAGCCAUACCGCGUGGGUGAAGAAGGCCUUCGGGUUGUAAAGCCCUUUUGUUGGGAAAGAAAUCCAGCUGGUUAAUACCCGGUUGGGAUGACGGUACCCAAAGAAUAAGCACCGGCUAACUUCGUGCCAGCCGCCGCCGUAAUAC
rnacentral:rRNA from 1 species